rnacentral:rRNA from 1 species
CCUACGGGAGGCAGCAGUAGGGAAUCUUCCACAAUGGGCGAAAGCCUGAUGGAGCAACGCCGCGUGAGUGAUGAAGGCCUUCGGGUUGUAAAACUCUGUCAUUCGGGACGAACCGGAGUCUGAGGAAAUGCAGACUCUCUGACGGUACCGGAGGAGGAAGCCCCGGCUAACUACGUGCCAGCAGCCGCGGUAAUACGUAGGGGGCAAGCGUUGUCCGGAUUCACUGGGCGUAAAGCGCGCGCAGGCGGUGAUGUAAGUCUGAGGUGAAAACCCGAAGCUCAACUUCGGGACUGCCUUGGAUACUGCGUCACUUGAGGAUAGGAGAGGCAAGGGGAAUUCCACGUGUAGCGGUGAAAUGCGUAGAGAUGUGGAGGAACACCUGUGGCGAAGGCGCCUUGCUGGCCUAUUUCUGACGCUGAGGCGCGAAAGCGUGGGGAGCAAACAGGAUUAGAUACCCCUGGUAGUCCACGCUGUAACGAAUAGAGUGCUAGGUGGUAGGUGGGUCGUCAUACCACUCUGUGCCGAACGACGUAACGACGAUUAAGUAACACUCCGUUCCGUUCGGGGUAGGGUUACGGGUUCCGGCGAAGACGUUAGAACGUUACGAAAGGAAAGUUAGGUUACGGCGUUGGAGGACGUUGGCCGAACGGACCGACCGAACCGAAGGGGAAGGUUAAGGAGG